rnacentral:tRNA from 1 species
GCAGGACUGGCGGAACUGGCAGACGCACUAUCUUGAGGGGGUAGCGGUCGAAGACCGUACGAGUUCGAGUCUCGUGUCCUGCACCA